UCCGGAAUGGUGUAGUGGUUAGCAUUUCUGCCUUUCAUUCCCCUCAUUCCAGGGGAGGAAAAGUUCGCAGGAGACCGGGGUUCAAUUCCCCGUUUCGGAA